GCGUGCUGAGCGCUGCGCCGGCCCCUUGUGUGGCGGCGCGAUGGCGGCCCCGUCCCAGGGUUCGGACAUGUUUGAUGAGAUCGUGAUGGCCGAUGACAGGUUUCACGGGGAGGGCUACCAGGAGGGGUACGCCGAGGGCAGCCAGGCGGGGGCUGCUGAGGGGCGGAGGUGCGGCGGCCUGCAUGGCGCCAAGAUCGGCGCUGAGAUUGGCAGCUACCUUGGAUUUGCACUGACCUGGCAGCAUCUGCUCCCAAAAUGUACAGAUGAAAAGAACAGUAAAAAAAUAAGGGCUCUGGAUUCAUUAAUAGGAAUGAUUCAGAAGUUCCCAUAUGAAGACCCCACUUAUGAAAAGCUUCAAGAUGAUCUGGAAAAAAUCAGAGGAAAAUUUAAACAGCUCGUGCCAGGUCAGUCAGAGAUGAGCAGAGUUAAUCAAGGUCUGAUUUGAGUGGGCAGCCUUUGGCUUUCAGUGUAAGUGAGAAGACCUCUAGCAGUACUAAAUACAACCUCCACAACCCAGAGAGGGAGAUUGGAAAGGAGUUGGCUGGAAGUGCUGUGUACAGCCUGGACCCCAGAAGCUGUCCCUGUACUGCGGGGUGGUGCUUCCGCAGCAGCAAAGCCCAUGCAGAGUUCAGAUGCUGCAUGCGUGCCUUGUUCGUGGUACACUGAGAGCACGCAGUGCCAGUUUUCUCUUUAAGUAAGAGUAUUUGUAAAAACUGUGGCUGGAAAUACGUGGCAGUUUUUUAGUAUGGCUGUGGAGGUGCUAACGGGAUCACUGAGAAACUGUUUGGUUUUCUUAUCAGAUUUCUAAAAAAGCAAAAAAGAGAACUUUCACCUUGCUCCUUGAGCCUAAAGAGCAAAUUCAGAAGUCUAGCAAGCCUUAUGCUAGCAGUGCAAUCCAGUUAACAAAUAUGCAGUCACUGUUUGAUCUUAAUUUUGUGGGGAACUCAAAAGCUAAAUGGGAAUCAUGUUUGCCAUGCUACUGCAACUACCUAUGUCAGUUAUACUGCUGGUAUCAUAAAAUCACCAUGUUUGUCUGAAAAAGAUAAAUUUUCCAUUAAGAGAUGUUGAUGGGAUUCCAUUGAAAUGCCAUCAUUUGUAGUUUUACUACCUUUGUCCCAUUGUAGCUUUUCAGUGACCCUACUAGGAAUCUCACCAAAGCAUUUAGCCCACCUGCUUAGGUCAUUCCUGUGGCUCUCCUGAAACAGUAGCUCCAAGCUUCUCUUUCUCCUUUAUCUGGAGUUUUCCAUCCCUUUAAAUGCCAGUAUGCUUCCACAUAAGUGGAUUUCCAGUUUCUGCAUUUAAUGGACCCUGCUUAUUCUUUAAUAAAGAAUGUGUGAUGUUAAUAUUCAUAAAAGAUACGAGUUUGCCAGUCUGAAUUCAGCAGUGGAAUUGGUGUUUUUGGACAUCUUUUGGAUGUUUUCUGUGUAUGCUUCUCCAUCUGAUGUAAUAAAGUAUUUUUCCUUUUAAUGAGCAAGAGCGCAGCCUAGCUGAAUGUGCAUAUUUUUUACAGCCUAUAGUAAAUUGUUUUUCUUGCUACAUUCUUGUCAUCCUGCCCUUUUCAAUGUGAAUAAUACAUUUGAAUUUAGUAGGCUGCAUUCAGAAAUGAUGCUUAAGAGAAAGAAAAUGUAAAUAGCAGAGCUGACAGUCAGGACUUAAACCUACUAAAGUGACAGAAUAUCUGAUUUUAAUAGUGUAAAACAUCAUAGAAAAGGCAAAAACCACUUAACACGUUCAACAGAAAGCAGGUUGAAAUUUCUCAUUGUUUUUUUUUUCCCCCAGCAAAAAGCUGUUUGUCCCAAAUCAGGAUCCUAAGUAUGUCCUCCCUCAAAACAUAUGAGUGAAUGCACUAGGACAGACUGAUUUUGCACUAGACUGUGUGUAACAGUUGUCAGCAGCUUUCAUUGUAGCCUCCUUUGCAGUAGUUACUGCAUAGAAAAGGUUGUGAUGUGCAGUUUAGUCACUGGGAAGCUCAUAAAGCAGAUACCACUUGUCAUCCAGGAAGACUUGACAUUUCAGGUGAGUUGAUACUUCUAAUGCAGUAAUUGACAUCACGUUCUCCUCUCAUGCUCCAUAGUCAGUAUAUAGAUAGGAAGUGUGAUUGUUCUCCACAAAGAAUAAUCUGUUGCUGCUGUGCCCAGCUCUUGCAAUUGGCAACACGCAUCCUGUUUUCAGAGAGGCACCUUGGAGAAGGAAUUGGCAAACAGGUUGUAAGUUUUUCUCAUUUUGUCAUCGUACCUCAUUACUGUUGUAUUUCCUUCUCAAGUCCAGUUCUUUUUUUGUGUAUUUUAGCAGGCUUUUAAUUUUUUCUGUAUUAAUUCCUCAUUAUCUCCGAUACCAGUAACCAGCAAAAGCUCUCUAGGAGGCAGGGGGAAGGAAGAGACUGCUGAUUUUAACUUGGUUGUUUUUAAAACAAACCCUUUCUGUAAAUGCGUUGCCAGGCACAAAACCAUACAGUGAGCAACACUGACAAGCGUAAUUGAGUGCCAGUCACCUGCCCACUUCUAAGAACACCUGCUUUCCUGAAGCAGUGAUAAAAAUGUUAGCGUUGCAAUUAUUAAAGCCCAGUCAGAAUGAGAGUGGUGUGGCUUAUUUGUUACAUGACACAGUUACUACCAUUCUGCAUGUGUGAAAGUAAUAAAACGACACAACAAGCAGGCACUGGGUUUUACCAAUUUUAUUUCUAGACUUUAGUGUUGUUUUUUUUUUGUUUUUUUGUUUUUUUUUUGUUUUUGCUGGAAACUUGUCUGUUACAGGUCUGUUGGUGAAAAUGUGCAUUUCAGACCAGUGAUGCCAAUAAGUACAAUAUAAAAAUGUACAAAUCUGAAUUGCUUGCUUACUACAGAUUGUUAUAACAACGUGACAAACAAAGCAUCUCUGUUGGCACAUGAACCCACGUAUCUGGAUUUGGCAUUUCAGUACAUACAAUAUGGAAAGAAAUUUGCAGUACACACUGCCGCUCAGUGUAACACGUAACAUAACCAACAACCACUAACUCAGUAAUCAUGUUUGGUUCAGAGACACAGAGAUGCCACAAACAGAAGUGUUUUAUGAGGUAAGCAGUAAGAAAUGUUCCUGAAAUUUGGACAGAAUGUAUCCAGUCCUCCUGGGUCCUGCGACUGCUAGUAGCAUUGCAAUGCUCUGUUUAUGCACUAUGUAGGGUCUUAACUGCAUUUGCCUCAAAAGAGUUCUAAUUCUGUUUUGGUUUAGCAGCAUACAGGCAACAGCUAGAUUAUUCUUCAGCAUACAACUCUGUUAGCUGGCUUAUUUAUGAGAUUUACAGGCUUUUUAAAUUAGCAUUAUGCUAUAAUUAACAAAAAAAAAAUUAAAAAAAAACAAAAACAAAAACUAAAAAAAAAAAACCAACAAACAACCCUAGUAUAUCAUAACAGAUUAAACACACAAAAUACUUAAGAGUUCCAGAAGAUAACCUAUCACACCAAGUGAUGGAUCCCAACUGACGGGAACCACAUCAGGUGGCAUACAAAAGUUAUAUUAUAAUGCACCUUUCAUAUAUCAAUGUGGCUAAUAACACAGCUUAGAACUACUAUGAUAAUAAACCCCAGAUCAGACAAAGAAUCCAGCUUUAUAAAAUGUGUAACAACAAAAAGCGACAUUACUGAUCUCCUGAAAUGUCUGCUGUCUUUAAAUCAAUGCAACCUAGUUGCAAAUCGCGAGACCCAUUCAGAACAACGUUCGAUGCAUUUCCAUUUGCAGUAGAACUAUGAGGCACUGUGUACGAACAUUAAAACCUGGUCUAGACAUGGUUAACUGAAGUAUGAGGUAUUGUGAAACAGGAACCUUUUUGGAAUAGAGCAGUAAUCACAUUAAGUAAAAAUUGAUCACAUAAAAAAUCUACAAAAAAAAAAAAAAUGAUGUCAAUAAUAUAAUUUUCUAUGAGAAAAUUAAAACCUAUAACAUGGCAGUAUAUGACAUUGUAUAACAAAAAAAAAAAAAAAAAAAAAAAAACUGAUCCACAAAAUAGCAGCAAAACACAAUGACAAAGAUACAGAAAAGCAAUGUUAAUUUUUUUUCAAACCAUGCUGGGAAUUUAUCCAUAGCAGCUCAAUAAAAAUGGAGCAUCCACUCCUCUUCUUUUCUCUUUUUUCUUUUUUCUUUUUUUUUUUAACUUUUUUUCUUCUUUUUUCUUUUUUUUUUUUCUCUGUUCCUUUUUUUUUGUUUUGUAUUGUUUUUACAAUCAACACCUUAGCGGCAGUUUUCUCACAUACAUUUCACCAUCACAUUCUCCUCGAGCAUCAACUUCAACAGCUAUGUCCACGUCCCUUCAGCUACUUCCUAAAAUAAUAAUAAAAAGAUACAUAGCCAAGAUGUGCAAAUUUUCUAUUUGUAGCUAAAUAAAAAAAAAAAAUUGGGGCAUAUACUGGAAUAAGAACUUCUUUCAAGUACUCCAAUUUU